UUCCUCCAGGAAUUCCUUCAGGGAUUCCUCUAGGGAUUCCCCCAGGAAUUCCUUCAGGGAUUCCUCCAGGAAUUCCCCAGGGAUUCCUCCAGGAAUUCAUCAAGGAUUUCUCCAGGAAUUUUUCCAGGGAUUGCUCCAAGAAUUCCUCCAGGGAUUGUUCCAAAAAUUCUUCCAGAGAAGAGAUUUCCCCAGGAAUUACUCCAGGAAUUUCUACAGGGAUUCCUCCAGGAAUUUCUACAGGGAUUCCUCCAGGAAUUCCUUCAGGGAUUCCUCAAUCCUCCAGGAAAUCUAUCAUGGAUUUUUUCAGGGAUUCCUCCACGAAUUUCUCCAGGAAUUGCUCCAAGGAUUCGUUCAGGAAUUUCAUCAGAGAUUUUUCCAGGCAUUCCUCUAGGGAUUUCUACAGGAAUUUCUUCAAAGAUUCCGCCAGGAAUUCUUCUAUCCUCCAGAAAUUUCACUAGGGAAUCUUUCAGGAAUUCCUCCAGGGAAUCCACCAGGCAUUUCUGCAGGGAUUACUCAAAGUAUUCAUCCAUGAGCUUCUCGAGGAGCUCCUCUAGGGGUUCCUCCAUGAAUUUCUCCAGAGUGAAUUAAUCGCCAGCAGACGCGUACCGACUAGUGAAAGUUAUCAAUCGGAUGACGCAAGUUCACAAGCCUGAGAUUGAUAAUAUUGGAUUUUUUUUUUCAUUUUUCGCAUUUUGACAAAAAAAAUAGAAGACAGUGUUUUGUCAAUUACGAUUUUUCGACAAAACAAACGCUGCUAUCUUACGAUCUCUUUCGUUGCAAAAAAAAGACAAUGUAUGACAUUUGAAAGCGAUUUCGAACAAAAAAAAUAGUUAAUUAUGUAACGAGCUGCAAAAAGUUGAUUUUUUUUCAGCACGAGUCGUACAUUUAUCCAACGAGGCUUGCCGAGUUGCAUUAUGAACAUUAUACAACUAUAUUUCAUUAUACAACUCAUUUCAGUUGCAUAAUGAACCAGUACGGAAUAAAUGGCCAUUAUGGUAUGAAAUGAGUUACAUUACAUUGAAAUUAUGACACUGAAUUGCAUAAACAUAUUUUCAGUGGAUACAUGUGUGCUCCGGUACACAUGUUAAAAGCUCAAUAGUACCUAUUAACUUUCAUUAUGGGUAUAAAUCAAUUUUUUUUAACAUCCACCACUCCCAACCACCUUCAACUAGUGUAACACAUCAAAAAGCAUCCUGCUGAUUGAUUAACUGCCGCCUGUUGUUCCGUGGCCGGGAGGAACGUCCCAUGUCUGAUGAAUACAAACCACUCACUCACUCAUCCAGUCAGUCAGUGUGUGACGCAGACCAGAGGGAAACUCUUUUCAGCCAAACAAAACCAGGUAUGUAUCGCUCUGUUACCAUAUUGCAUUGCCUUGUUCGGUCCCCGAGCAAUGUGUCGCACGUGGAAAUGAUGGAAAACUGUAAUGUGCAAUUAAUUAUAAGUUUAGCGCCGGCCUCGGCCGUCCGCUCCCCGACCCGAAAGUUAAGCCACCCACCCACCCCCCAGUUUGAAGUUCUAUAUUUAGCCAAGUCAAGUCAAGCGGCAGCGGCGUCCGAGUUGUUGUUGGGAAUUUUUCACCGGUGCUUUUUAUGACCACCGCGCGCCGGCCGGUCGUGGCUGAAGCUGUUGUAUGUCGUUUCCCCAUAACUGUGGUGUGUGUAUGCUACUAUGCUGUUGAAGGAAAUGACUGGCAGCGAUAUUGGUCACCACACAGGCCUUGGGCUUAGUAUGACGAAUGAACGGACGGACGGACGAACGAAAAAAAAAAAAAAAAAAACGAUGACCAGUGACCAUCGGACGCCGCGGUGAAAUCGUGUGGUUUACACCUUUCCCGUUCUGGGCAAUUUGCUAACAGAUUUUGACGACAGCUGGCUUAAAGGAGUGGCCGAGGCUUGGGGGUGAUCCUUGGUCUGGACCGGCUAGCGGUUAGUUCGCGGUAGGGGGUGGUGGUGACGUUGCACAUGGACAAGUUCGUGUUCUGGCAGAUUAGAUGUGAUUAAUCAUUUUGACUAAAUUGGUCCCACACCGGUGCUUUUUGGGCAUUUAACAUUGUUGUUGGCGAGGUUAGGGGAUGGUAGACUAUUUUGGGAUCUCAUAUUGAAUUCACCGAGGGUUGAGACUGCUACCAGAAACAGAAGGGUCUGUCUUUGAUGAAUACGAUGACCAUUAUUCGAAAGCAGAUUCUAUUUCUGAAACAGGUAGAAUUAUGAAAAGAAACUAUUUUGUGAAUCACAGAAAACUCAAAAUUCAAGAGCGCAUUGUUUAAUUGAAAAACUAAAAAUAAAUUUGUGUAAAAAAUCAAAUUCGUUCAGAUGAUAUUCGAACUUAUGACACCUUAUCACUAGCCUAGCGCUUUAGCCAACAAAACCACAGAACCUAGUUGAACUUCUGUUUCACAGUACAAGCCGACAGGUUGAAUACAAUAAAUAAUUUUAUGCAAUUCAGUUUCAUAAUUUCUAUUUUAUAUAACUCAUUUUGGUAUUAAAAUGGCCAAUUUUUCCGAAUUGGUUUAUUAUGCAACUGAAAUUAGUGGCAUAAGGAAAAAUAGUUGUAUAAUGUUCAUAAUGCAACUCAUUUGAGUUUCAUUAUGAACAUUAUACAACUCAAAUGAGCAGUAUAAUAAAAAAAUCAUUGCAAAAAAUGUUGUAGGGAACUCGUUGCAAAACUCGAUUUUUUCAGCAUUUUUUGUAUUUAUUCAACUCGGCAAGUCUCGUGGGAUAAAUGUACGACUCGUGCUGAAACAAUCAACUUUUUGCAACUCGUUAUAUAAAUAACUAUUAAAGCACGCUUUAAUUCAACCUCUCUUAAAUGUCAUCUUCCGUAAAUACCAAUGAACCGUAUUUGCGACACCUCCGGGAAAGGUCACUUCUCUCCGGGUUUCGGGACACGGUUUGGAAAAACAUAAAUCAGUUUUAAAAAUAACCCAUCCCAUCGCUGCCGGAGCCAGAGCAUAGCCAAUGUGGGCAAUAUUGUCACUGUCAUCGACUCCUCACAAACUCGAACGCGUCAAGCAAAUCGGGCCCAUAUCACAUGCCAAUAACUGUGUGGGAGAGCAACAUGCUCUUCUGUCUUCUAUUUUUUGCAAGCAUAGGAUGGACUGGAUACUGGUGCAAAGUUUCAGGGGGGUGCGUUGAACGGUCCUCUGUUUCGAAGGUCGACUACACGGAUCAUGGAUCAAAGCGGUGCCUGCAUGGCGGAUUGGUGGAGAUCCCGAUGCCGAUGCCACCUGAAAGCAACAUGUUUUUGCUCGCGUUCUAUUCAAUCACUUUUCGAUUUCGAUGCUCUGUUCGAUGGCAACAUAAAGUGUAGUGAAUAAAAAAAGAAUUCAAUUUUUGCUUGAUUUUGAUGGGAAAGUUCAACACGAUGCAUCACAUUCCACAAUAAAAGGAUAAAUAAAUAUUUGCUUUGUCAGCAGAGUGGCGUGCGAAACGAGGAUAACCUGAAGUUCAACGGGACCGUACUUGAUGGACAAAGUUGUUUGAUAUUAACUUGUCGUCAAAAAUGCCAGAGAUGUCUUCAACCUUGGAGAAGUGUGUACUAGCUUUAGAACGUUCGGUGUUGUUGAUAAAAUAGUUGGAAAGAUGUUGAAAACGAUAUGACAAUAAGGUUCUAACCGAAUUUGGGGUGAACACUCAGCUCAGCGUUCUCUAUGCUCAAGGAAGUCAAGAAAAGGGUCCUGAGUAGAUCGAAAAGCGAACCCAGAAACGCUGUGUGGAAGCAGUGAAGUUAGCAAGAAUGGAACUUCUACUGAAGAGUGAGAUUGUUUUAGCGCAGAAAAGGAUGGACAGGAACGAUAUGCGGAAGUUUUAUUGCAACUGUCAAUGAUGCGCGGCACAAGACUGCGCCAGUGCCCGCCAUGUACAAUGAGAGAAGGAGAUUUGCUGACAGACAAAACAAUGCACAAUGGUCCGUGGGCCGUAUUUAUCUGGAAAAAAAUGUAUGCCUAAACUAUUAUUUUAGCUAUAUGCUGUCAUCGGGAAAGUAUCUUCAUAUUUUUUAAAUAUUUAUUUUCAAUAAUAUGAAAUAAGGGUGUCAACUUUUUAUUGUUUCCAUAUAGAGCAAUGAGGUGUUCCACAAAGUUGGGAUGCAUUUAAUUCUAAAGAAACUAUAUUGUUAUCUCUUAUUGUUUCAGCGAUAUUAUUUUUGAAGAAACAAAAUUGGGGGCCACAAAAAAAAAAAGUUUUCUUUUGACAACUUUUUCUACAUUGAUUUUUCGCAAAGACAGCGUCGUCGAUGAGAAUUGUGUGGACUUCCAUCACACUAAGAACAAUCCGCUCUCGCCUAGGCAUUUUAUAUACAAUAGAUGAGUAGUGUGGAUGGACAUCUAAUUCAUCCGAAAGAAUUGCGGUCUGUGGAAAAGAUAACCUCAAAAUUUCGAGCUGAACUUGAAUUCAGGAUGAUCACUACAUCUUCGAGUCUUCUUGUGGUAUAGUGGUAACGCGCCUGUCUAAUAAAUAAAAGUCGUGAGUUGGAGUCUCACCGAGAGGACGAGUAACUUUUUUUUUCGCAAAUUCCACUCCAAUGUGACCGUUUUUUACUCACGUCAGUACUUGUAAAGUCCGGCUUUUGAAGUUACGCAAAAUGAGUUGUUUGGUGGUAACUUUCACCUUAAUGAUAUAGUAACUUUCCUUAUGUUUGGAAAUAAAAUAUUGUACUUGUUAGUUUUUUUUUAUUUUCUACUAUGCUACAAUGUCUUAACCGCUUUGUGCAACUUCAAUUUUUAAUCCUGUUGUUUACAGUUUGCGCCAGGAAAAAAAAUGCGAAAGCGUUUUUCAACUUCAAACCUUAUUUUCGUCCAUUUGACGUUAACCAAUCUAUGAUUUAACGUUCCUUGAUCUCUAACAGACCAAUUUUCUGAAAACCUUUCUUGCAGGUGUCAUCUAUAUAGUUCAUAUUAGUCGACAUAUUUAUGAACUUUGCAGAAGUGGAGACUCCGGUUUUGUCCACAAAACAAACAAAUUAGCCCGAUAUGUUGAACAUUGUACCACGGUUACUAAGCGCGGCUCUCCGUAUGACAUUCCUUACCGCAAUGUUGAACAUCAGACACGAAAAUUCUGCUUGACGAAGUCUCAUCGGGAUUUGAACAAACUACAAGACAGCUCGCUCGAAAUCUUCUCUCAGGUUUGCAGGCAGAUGGCCAACAUUUCCGGGCCUAUAUCUAUGAGAUCGGCUGCAGUAGCAGACUUACCACCUACUUCAUUAUUCUUGAGUUGAAGAAUGUCAUCCUUGAUUUCGCUUAGUGAGGUUAGUGAAUGCCCAUGAUCUGCCUGCUGUAAUAUUCUUUUUCUAAGCUGCCAUGGUCCAUAAUACAUCCCUUCCCUAUAUUUGGUCAUGGUCCUUAAUUAAUGGGAAUAUUUGUAUUUGAGACUUCACUGACAACUUAGAACAUCCUAAACAUCAUAAAGUUUGGAUAAACGAACUAAUUAACAUACCAGUUGUUUUAAAAGCUGAAUUUGGAUAUGGGUUACGUUUGUUAAAACUAUCAGAAUGUGUUAGAAAUAUCAGAAUGUGUUGUUAAAAAUAUCAGAAUGUGUUUUAUAUUUGGGAUGUUCUAGGUGUUCCAAAUUGUCCUGUAGUAAAUUCCUCCAUAUGUACAAGAAUAACUUUAUCUGUUUUCUCCAUAAAUAAUACCAUUACAUAAUCUACUGGGAUCCAUCAAGCUCUGAAAUCUCAAAUGUCAUUGAGAGACACUAUAGGACUAUUCCAGGUCAGCUAAACUACCUUAGAGUUCAGAACUUCAGAUCUACAUUCGUAACUGCAGCCAUAUCUGCUAUAUUAAUUGUGAGUAUCAUUGCAUAAUCAACUGCGGCUGCUGGAUCAACCUGAAAUCUAUUAUAUAUUAUUAUUACCCUUUGGGGCAUUUAGGGUCAUCUAAACUGUCCUAUAAUAGAGUUCUUUAAAUCUACAAGAAUAAUUUUAUGUGUUUUCGCCAUAAAUAAUAGCAUUGCAUAAUUUGCUCGGAUCUGUCCAGCUCUUGAAAUCUCAAGUGUCAAAAGACACUUUAGGUCACAGUUAGUCGCGUUCGGUAAUUUUUACCGAAAUCUCAACUGCUGAGUGUUCGGUAAUGGGUUUUUACCGAAAUUCUGUAAUACCAAAUUUCGGUAAAAUGAUACCGUUUAUAUGUCAAAUUUUAACGAAGUUCGGUAAACGUCACCGAAUGUUUUCGGUAAAAAACUUAACGGUUGAGAUUUCGGUAAAAUAUUACCGAAGUCGGUGAUUUUUUUCUAAGGUCAGCCAAACUACCUAGUCAGAACUUCAGGCCUACAUUGAUAACAGCAGCCAUAGCUGCUAUACUGAGGAACGUUGGGAAUUGGACCAAUCUGAAGUCUAUGUUAUUAUAAAUCUUUGAGACAUUCAGGGUCGUCAAAAUUGUCCUAUAAUGAAGUCCUUCAAGUCUACAAGAAUAACUUUAAGUACCAUAAAUAAUAGCAUUGCAUAAUCUGCUGGGUUCCAUGAAGCUUUUGAAAUCUGAAAUGUCAUUUAGAGAUAUUAUAGGUAUAUUCCAGGUCAGCCAAACUAUCUUGGAGUUCAGAACUUGUAGACCUGAGGUUCGGAACCCAGCAGAUUAUGCACUUGUAACAGUAGCCAUAUCUGAUAUACUGAGUAACGUUGCAUAAAUCAAUCGUGGUUACUGGAUCAACCUGAAGUCUACUAUAUAUUAUUAUGAACCUUUGGGACAUUACGGGUCGUCCAAACUGUCCUGAAGUUGAAAUCUUGACAGUAACAGUAGUUAUUCUUACAGUGAACUAUAACGUUACACAUCCAACUGUAAUCUGUAAUCCCCCUGGCAUUUCUGGAGUCAUUUCAAGAUAGUUUUGAAAUAUUCAAGAUCAACCAAACUACUUCGGAGACCAUAGCUUCAGUUCUACAAUUGUGAUAAUAGCUUUCGUCAGUACGUUAAGUAGUGUUACAUCCACUGUAUUUACCGAAGUAGUUCGAGGAACAAUAAGCGUUGUUAUAUAUUUUUGGGAUAUCAUAAGCCAUCCUUACUCUUGUGUAGCUUAGUUUUAUAAAAACAACUACAGUAACAUAAGGUGAAUUUGUUUUAGAUAGUAGCUUUACACAACCAAAUAGGAUCCAUGUACCUCUUAACUAUCAAGGGUCACUUCAUGAAAUAGUUAUGAUAAUUUAGGUCAACCAAUCCUUCACGGAGUACACAACUUUAAUAUCUACAUUUGCAAUGCUAGCCUGCAACACUAAAUAAUAAUACAUAAUGAACCAUAUUUACUAAUAUUCUUCAAAGACUAGUAGGCAUUGUUUUGUACCCUUGAAACAUUUGUGCUGCAAAAACUUACGUUAUCUAGUCUAACCCACUCAGAUUCGCGUACUUCUGUAAAACUCAGAGCCAUUCCAAAAUACCUGUGAGAUAUUUCAGGUUUAUUACACAGCUAGUUGCGUUCGGUAGUUUUUACCGAAAUCUUAACUGCUGAGCGUUCGGUAACUAGUUUUUAACGAAAUUCUGUAAAAAAAAUACCAAAUUUCGGUAGAAUGUUAUCGUUUAUCAGUCAAACUUCAACGUAGUUUACUGAUUUUUUCCUGUAAAACAAACUUAACGGUUGAGAUUUUGGUAAACCAUUACCGAAGACGGUGAUUUUUUCUAACUGUGUAAACUUCCCAUACAACCAAGAACCUCCAGGUGAGGUGAAGAUAUGACGGAGCCACAUUUCGAGCACAAAUCUGAAGGCAAAUGUGGGACGCGGCCGUGAAUAAGGAAUCUAAGGACUGCAGUCACGAAUCGAGUGUUGUGGUGAAGAUGUGUUGAUUCAGUUUUAAUUUAAUAGUUAUUAACGCUAAAUAAAUGAAAUAUAUACGAUCAUUACGGUUGGUAAUGCAGUAUAACUCUAAAUAUUUAGCAAAAAGAUAUUAUUACGGCUGUAGACUCCAUGUUGCAUGUUGUCCAUAUUGCUGGACAGUGUAUACGAUUCUGAAACUCAUAAUAUCCCGAAGCUACCCAGCUAACACAAAGUCUUAUAUGAUGUUGAAAAGGAUGCUAAAGUGGAGGCCAUAUGCGUACAUGCUCCCAUUUAACCCCGUGUAAAGUGUGCGUAUAUCGCCUCCACUUUUACAUCCUAUGCAACAUCUUAUGCGAUAGUGUGUUGACUGGGUAUAUCAUAGUCUCUGAUAGUAUUAUGUAAACUCCAGUAAUUAUAAUAGAUUAUAAAACAUACCUCUAUAUAGCCAAAACAGAAACUCAUAAUAGUUUGGAUGAUCUGGGCAUGAUAGAUUACAAAUCGUAGCUUUGUAUUAUGAAAGAAAUUAUCGUUACACCCGUAGACUUUAGGAUCUAAACUCAAGAAUAAUUUGGACGACCUAGGAUAUUCCAACUGAUCUUAUACUAUAUUUUGAACUUUCAGAAGAGUUAUUGGACAUGAUAGAUUACAAAUCGUAGCUUUGUAUAGUAAAAGAACUUACCGUUACACGCGUAGACUUUGAGACCUUAACUCAAGAACAGUUUGGAUGACUUAGGAUAUCAAGAAAAAAAAAUAGUCUGCGUCAUAUUCUACUCUUUCUAUGCUAUUGAGCACCAAAGCCACAGAUAUACGUAGAAAAAACUAUAUAAGGCCGUUACAAAUAUUUUUUUCAAUUUUUGUCACACCACUCUUUGGCUUUGGGGGGUUGACAAAAAGUUAAAAUGAAAUUUGUAUCCACCUAAUAACGCUUGGGAAAAUUCCGACUUCAAAUGGUUGAGUCAAACCCAGACACCUGCAACAUGGUGUCUCUUUUGUAGCUGUGCGUAAUUCAAUUCAGCGAUGGUAGGCCUAAUUUUUUAGGCUUAUCUUAUCUGAACUUACGAGCAUUAUCAUAUUAACUGUUUCAGGUAUAUGUCCGCAGACGUUCUAUGAAAUUUAUCUAGACACUUCCGCUUUGCGAUGAUCUCUGUUACUCAUGUAAAUAUAAACUGAUUUCGUACACGAAACAACACAAGGAUCAAUAUCAUAAAAUCACACACUUGCCUAUAAAGACAAUAAGACUAUUCAAAUCAGCCUGCAACUCCACGUUCCCCAUGCAGCGAAAAGAAAAUAUAUCAUUUCCUGUCGAGACUCUCGGUUUCCAUAUCCAGAGAUAUUUUACGACUCGUCCGGAACGUGCUGCACUAUUCAAUGCUGGCUGAAAGAGCGUGAUUCCAGCCGGCCACUCUUUGGGGCGUUCCAAGUUGUUCCACUUCCAUCAACCUUCCUAUGGACAUUUUGCCCAAAAUGGGGGGGGCAGGCGUUGGUUCUUGGAUUGGAAUGUGUAAAAAUAAACAAAACGAGUGACGAGCCCCGUUGUGUGACUUUCUUCGCGUAGCUAGUUGCUAACUGUGAGUCCGGAAGAGGUUAACCAUGAACCUUCCUUUCGCUUCGAGGCGCGCGGAUGAUUGACUUCGCCGGAGAUAACUGCGUCGAGGUAGUUAUAAGGGCGACCGUAAAUUUUUAACGACUCCAAUCUUCUUCCGUUUUGGCGGUGCGUGUUUUCCUUAUGAUGCCAGUUUGAGCACGCUUGCUGUAAUGUUUCAAUCAACUGGAGAACUGCUUGUACGAGUUCUGCACGAAUCAUUGAGAGAAGGUGGAGCUACAUUUGCUGAAAUGUUAAAUUGGGAUACAUCCCAAAGAAUUCCAUAGGUUAAUGUUCAAAUCCUCGGAAGGGUCAGGAUUGAGUAGUGUGCGGUAGUUCGGCAGCAGCAAAGUUUCGCGCGCUCGCUUUGCUAGAUUUUUGCGAUUUUCUUUCCCCUUCUCUCUGCGGGGCUCCGACGACGGGACGCCAAGCAGUCAGUAGUGUGCGGUAGUUUGGCAGCAGCAAAGUUUCGCGCGCUCGCUUUGCUAGAUUUUUGCGAGAGUGAGUUUUUGGAGGCAAAGUGUACAGGCCGCGUUUUCAUUCGGUCGUCGUCGUCGUCUAUUUGACUGCUCAUCUUCGUACGGGGCGAUUUAUGAUACGAUAAAUGCAACAAACAACAUUUUUUGCGAUUUUAGUCAACAGACAUUGAAAUGUUCGUCACGUCAAGUGUCGGCCCAAGUUCCAAAGCCACGUUGGUUCAAAUCACUUUAUUUUCUCUUUCGUUAAUUUUCGCACUUCGAAAACUAUCUGAAUGGUUCGUCAUCUUCGAUGUCGGCAUGUGUUUUGUUUUAGUCCAAAUGAAAAUAAGUGGUUUGAUAUUAAUAGGGUUGCAUGAAUCACUCCACUUACCAAAGUGAACUCAUAUCAUGCGCCCUUUCCCCUCCCCACUAACAAAAAGUCCUUCCCAUGACAGACGUGGAGACGCAGAGGUGAUCUCGGUCUUUAGUAAGCAACGCACGUCAUAAUAACAUUCCUUUCCUUCCUCGAUGACCGUAAGGACGUGGCCGGCGCCGUUAUUGACCUAAUAAAGUUUGGAAUUCUCGAAGAUGCACAUUGAGGACGGUAAGCUACUCCCAAGCUCCGUCUGUUGGUUCCUUGUACAACUUCGAUUGUUCUGGUCAAUCACGGAGUAGCAACUACGAAUAGUACGGUCAUCUAUGCUCAUGCUCAUGCUCAAAUCCUCGGAAGGGUCAGGAUUGUUUCCGCAACAAAAGAUGGACCUUCAUUAGGAUUAUCUAUCGGCUACCGCAUGUUACCGAUUCGUCGAAGUCCCUCAGUAAGCGUCGUUUUCGCUUCCAACAGUUUCCCCGAAUCACCGACCACAUCAGCAGAGUCAGGAAGGUAUUACGCUAGCAAUGACCUCAAACAUCUGGCUGGGGUUCAAUGUGAGGACAGUUGUAUCCAUUUACCGGACGAGAAGAUGGCGGCACGGGUCGGAGGCGACAACGGCGGCGACGACGACGCCACAUUGCUCGUUGAACGAUUGGGAUGAAUCUGGCAUCAGCAGCGCCGGCCACCGCGUGCCGCCAGCCAGCAGCCCAGUCGGGUGGGAGAAGGCAUGUGUCCGAAAAUAAAACAUUUGCGUUUCUAAAAUUACACCGAAACUAGGGAGUGAAAAUAAACUCUCUGUUGUUUCUCUUCCCCCCAGCCAGUCAGUCAGCCAUCAGCAUUAGCAUGCGGAUGAGCGUUGGUUUGUUGUGUUGUUGGAUGUGCAUUGGGGGAAGAGAUCCAAAAACGUCCGUUACCUACAAAUGGUGAUUACGACCAACGACGACGACGCCGCGGUUACUGAGAAGCACAUGAAGUCACAUGAUAUGUUGUUGUCGGGUAUAAGUUAAGGAUGUUGGGGCGUGUGUUUUGUGCUGUAAGAACCUGGUGCUUCAGCCGAAAAAAAAGUGCAGAGCAGGGAACCCAGCUAUGCAACUUUCUGAUGAGUCCAGAAUCCAGAUGCUGAAUCGUGUGUGUGCUCGUUUGGUCUUUCUACGUUCUUCCAAUGUUUAUUUGGGUUUACAGAGAAAAUCCGUCUGGUGAUCAUGACCGACGGGUGUCUAGGCAAUAAAUGUAUUUUUGGUUGCUAUUCGUAGGGAAGCGACAUUGCUGAAUCCGGAUCUGAAUAAGCUCAGUUAACAGAAAGAUACCAAGUUUAGUCACUAGCACAUUUUUCUAUACUUUUCAAUCAGAAUUAUAGGAUUUCUACUAGAAACGUCUGAAGAAAUUCUCCUAAACUGGGUAUCAUCAGAAGUGUUCUUUCUGGGAAUCCUACAGGACUUUCUACUAGGAAUCAUCCAGGAGUUCAUUCUGGGAAUCCUCUAGGAGUUCCUACUAGAAGUCCUCCGAGAUUUUUUUUUUCUGAAAAUCUCCUUGAGUUCCUUCAGGCAACCCCACGGGAAUUACUCUUGAGAAUCCUCCAAAAGCUCGUUUCCACAAUAAAUCCUUCUGAAAGCCCACCUGGAGUUCAUUCUGAAAAUCCUUCAGAAGUUCCUUGUGAGAAUCCUUCGGAUGUUCUUUUAGAUUUCUUAGAAGGAGUUAUGGCUAGGAAUCCUCAAGUAGUACCUUGUGAGAAUCUUACAGCAAAUUAUUUUGGAAAUUCUCCAGAAGUUACUUUUGACAAUCCAUUAGGAGCUAGGAUACAUCCUUAGAACGAACUCCUGGAUUAAUCUCAAGAAGGAAUUCUGGAAACAACUAGUAUAGAAAUCUCUUAAAGCAACUUCUGAAGAAAUUUCUUGUUUACAUUAAUUUCUGAGCAUCCAUGGAGAUGUGAAUUGCCGGCCAACAACGCCUUAUCUUGUGCCCUGAUCAAAUUUCUGUCAUACAGUACUGGACAGAAAAAAGUAAGUGUUGAGUGGUUAUCAUACAAAAUGCUCAAGUUUGGGGGUUUGAGUCUCAGCUUCUAUUGAUCAAAUUUGAACUGUGCAUUCAAAAUAACUAAAAAUUUGAUUUAUGAAAAAAUAAGACAUUCCCAAGCAAAACCUUUGAAAAUAUUGCAAAUUUUAUGAAAAAUAGCAUUCUUUAGUAUUUCAGAAAGAAAGCAUGACGUAUUUUCUAGCUUCGAAUUGAUCCACGAUUUGGUCGACGAAAGUUCAACUAACCGGCUAUGUAGAGUGGAUUUUCCGUGAAAUUGUUUGAACAGUGAUGACGAUUUGCAAAAAAAAACUUGUGAAGCAGUGAAUUAUUCGGAAAGGUUUUGUGACACUAUUGACAAAAUUCGUGGGCGAAAUGGUGUUGCUAGUUAUAGAAAUCUUCAUCACAACGCUACUACAAACAAAAAAGCAGAAAACUGGCGAUGGUGUGCCCGUUGCUGUAUGGAAAAAGACGUCGGACGUUUGAUUAUUUGGUGAGAUCUUUCUAAUUUCUUUGAGAUGCCUUGAUGUUGAUAGUAUGGUGCCUGUUAACGUUCAGUAAUUCAAUCACUUACAAUAUGUUUUUCGGUACAACCGGGGAAGGGAUCAUCAUAUUUUUAUUUCGUUUCAGAAAGCGAGCAAUGGCGCUUAAACCUAGGCUUUUGAGCCAGGGCAUAAGGGGAAAAUCCUAUGCCGCAUCCCAGGAAGAGGAGCCAAGAAGGAGUGACACUAACUUUCUUAGCAACGUCACUCCCAACGUUUUUGCUUAUAUUUCAUAUAUCAUACUAUACGGAUUGGUUGGUACGAGAUGUUCCCGUUCUAUGGUUUUAACUUAAUAUUCAAUGACGCUGCACAGUAGGCCUGGCCGCUUCAAUACUUGUAAUGAAUCUCUGAUUCACUGCAAGCAUUGAUAAUGACAAGAAAAAUGAUAGAAGUAGUCGAUUCUAUCAUUUUCCAGGAUUCUUCCAAGUGAUGGCUGUGUAUGUGUAGACUAGACUAGACUAGACUAGACUAGACUAAAUAGCAUUAUUUAAUAUUUCACAAACGAGUUGUUUUACAAUAUCGGACAAUAAAAAUGCACCAAAGCCGUUUUCCCAUAAAAAACUAAUCAACUUUAGAUUGACAUACCAGAGUUAUUUCUCAACCGAUUGUUUUAAUUUUUCUAUGACGAACUACAAAAACAUUUCAAUUUUUAAAAACUUUUGAAAAAGUUCAGUGAUGACUAUUGAUACAAAGUUACAGAGAGGUUAAAUUUUGACCAUAAAAAUGAACCAAGACAAAAAUCAGAAUGUAGCAAAAAAUGGCGAAGACAAAUCAUGUUGGUGUCUUCAGCAAACUUAUUCAUCAUCACACAAGAAACAUAUUUGCCGAAGACACCAUAAUGAUAAGACGUACCAAUUUUAUGUUUUCUUGGUGCAUUCUUAUUGUCAAAAUUUAGCCUAUCGGUAGCUCUUUUAUCAAUAGUUGUUAUCGAACUUUUUCAACUAGUUCGCCACAGAAAAAUGAAAACAAACGGUUGAGAAAAAACUGAGAUAUGGCAAUCUAAUGUUGACUAGUUUGUAUGAGAAAACGCCUUUGAUGCAUUUUUAUUGUCUGAUACUGUAAGUAAAUUUACUACAUUUAAUACAUUUUACAUUUAAUACAUAGUUCACUAAAAGAUUUGAAACUAUUCUAAACGCUAAAUAUUUACAUUAAUUUACAAUUAAUUAAGUGAAAUGACAGCAAACCGAAAACAAAAUUUGAAAUCAAAUUAAGUAAAUCUAUACUGAUAUCGAAAUGUGAUAUCAAUUUGUUGCUGAAUACAUAUCGUGUUUUCAAUUUGCUGUAAUUUUGUUGUUGAACUUUGCUCGGGAAGCCGUUUACCUUCCAUCCAUUUUUGACAGAACAGUGUCGAUCUAUCAGAAAACGCUUACGAGUUAUGAAAUCAAGCGAACUGUGCCGCAUCAUCUUCAUAAUAAUAAACACACAAGUCUACACGGCUGGCAUCCACGCAGGAAUGUGUGAACCCUCUGCGAAGCAUAUCCCACCAACACUCUGACAUCCGCAAGAAUUUUUGCAGACAUAGAGCUAUAUUCGAUCUGCUGUGGAUACAAACGAUUGCAAUCAUCACUUUCUUCCCGUUUCCCACAUUGACUUGCAUCUGACGUGACAGACGCCAUUGUCACCUAAAAAUAGAAGAUCACCAAAACUCACACACUGCACUGAAGAUUCCUGCUAGUCCCCGGCAGAUAUCUCAUUUGUUUAUUGUGUGAGUGUAGCUGGUCUGGCUCAAGCUCAAGCUUUUUAAAAAGUUUACUCUGAAUAUUCUCUAAUCUAUUACGUUCACAUUUCUGGAAGGGGUCUGCGUCUCUUAGAAAUUCUGUCUUGAUUUGAUGAACAUUUUCAAAAAUUCCCCUUCUCUAUGUAAUUGCUGCCUGUGAAAUAUUUCACCAAGAAUUCUCACUGAAGCUUUCCAAUUAUGGGCCCUUCGAAAAUUCUCAAAAAAAAAACUUGGCCAAUUAAGUACUUUAUGAAAUACACUAAAAAUCCUUUACGGCAUGAAACAGUUGGCGAUAAACAAAAUGAAUUGAAAAAAAAACAAAUGGAGGAAGAGGAACUAACCUUAGUCAACUACGGUUAACCAUAGAUCAGAAUGUUAACUUCAAGGUGUGAGCAUAUGAUACUACACAUACAAGGCAAAGAUAAGCAACAAGCAAGUUUCGUGCUUGCUCAGAUACCUACUUCUUAUCAGUGAAGAAAAUAUGGAAUGAUUGAUCCAUUCUUUUUCAAUCACUCUAACACUGAGUAUGUCUUUGCUAUCUAAUCAAUAUAAGACAACGUCUGUGUCGUGGAUUUACAGUUUGACGUUACCUUCUAUAUCUAUAAAUUUUAUCUGUUAAGAAAGGUACCCUGAAUGUAACUAGUUGAAACUAGUAAGGACUGUUCAUUAAAGAAAGUGGACAUCUGUUUACCAAUAGUUUAGAGUUAAAACUAAACAAAAAAUUGUUAAUUUUUGCUCAGUGUAUAAAAACAUUGUUCACUUCGGCAACUGUGUUCAAAGAAAACGGAAAAAAGUGAGAAAUUUUGUGCGAUGGGUUGGAUUACCUUAUCGACUAGCAGAUAAAUUCUGCACAAAUGGUGUUCCAAAAAAUGUCGUUUCGAGAAUGGGCGUACUAGUACACUUCCGGGAUCGCAAUUUUUCAACGCUGAGCAGGGGACAGAUGUGCUGGAUGAUGUAGGGUACAUCAGAACCGAAAAAUUUGGGAAAAAGUUUUUGGUGUGGCAAGCCAAUUGUUCAUGCGUCUUAAUCAGUUCUUCGUAUAUCACAACAGGAACAAUCAACGGUGAAAAUAACAUAAAAGAAUGCAUCAAAAAACGACUUCUACCUAUCUAUCGAAAACAUACGGAUCCUCCAUUGUUUUGGCCGGAUCUAGCAUCCGCUCAUUACGCUUCUACUACACAAGAGCUGCACAAGACGGAAAAAGUCGAUUUUGUCGAAAAAUGGCAAAAUCCAUCUAACUUCCCUGAACUGCGUCCUGUGAAAAGAUAGUGGACAAUAAUUUAGCGGCAUCUCAAGAAAAAUGGAAGAGAAGCAAGCUCUGUUGAUUGCUUCAAGAAAAUUUGGUCUGCGGCACAACGAAAGGUUACGGAGAAAGUUGUGCAGAAUCUAAUGGGAGGUAUCAAGAGGAAAGUCCGAGCGAUCUUCAGAAAUGCGAAGUAAAUGUUCAAACUCACGUGAAUUCGGCCACAUGUAUGUUGAUUGUCUUAUAUAAAAAAUAAACUUAUGAAUUUGUUCGAAAAUAAAAAUUUUCUAUUGAAAAACAGGUGUCCACUUUCUUUAAUGAACAGUCCUUAUUUCUGAAUAUUGGUGACGCAAAACAUACUGAAUUGUUUAACACGUUUCUGAAACAAGCAAAACUAUAAUUCAUUCUCACGCUCAGAUGUCACAUUGCUAUGAAAACAAAUCGCAACGGAAUCCAUAAAUAUCAAUGAUCUUUGCACAUUUCAGUAUCCGGCGCAAAGUUCUAACACCAUUAAUUCCCUUAUCAUUAGCAUCAAGAUGUCCCACUGCUAGCCGUUAUGCUAAAAGUCGUAAAUCGUCCCUUAAUUAGCAUAGUUAUGGCGUCCAGCACUAAUUGGCCAUUAAGUACAAUAAUUCCGGCCAACAUGGGUAUGGCUCACGUGCACAUCUUUAUUAAUUAAAUUAUAUCUCAGUCACACCUACAAUUCAAAUUAGGCUCCCAAGCUUGAUGCCAUCCAUGACAAGACGCGAAUUGUGUCCACGGUUUCGCUUAUUUGGAUCCGUUCUCGAUUUCAAUCACCUUCAAUUUUAUCCAGUUUUAUCAUCUCCAAACUGCCUCAAACGUCCCUCAAGCUGCGCAAGAGAAUUGAUGGGAGACAGGCGCCGGUACAAUUAAAAUAAGAGCAAUAAACAAUGCAAUCACAAUUCUAUUGUAGGUAGCACGUACAAACGAAUCCGCCCGACCGAUCGAGUCGUUUCUAUUU